AUUGAACGCUGGCGGCAUGCCUUACACAUGCAAGUCGAACGGUAACAGCUCUUCGGAGGCUGACGAGUGGCGAACGGGUGAGUAAUACAUCGGAACGUGCCCGAUCGUGGGGGAUAACGGAGCGAAAGCUUUGCUAAUACCGCAUACGAUCUACGGAUGUAAGCAGGGGUCCCUCGGGCCUUGCGCGAAAGGAGCGGCCGAUGGAAGAUUAGGUAGUUGGUGGGAUAAAAGCUUACCAAGCCGACGAUCUGUAGCUGGUCUGAGAGGACGACCAGCCACACUGGGACUGAGACACGGCCCAGACUCCUACGGGAGGCAGCAGUGGGGAAUUUUGGACAAUGGGCGAAAGCCUGAUCCAGCAAUGCCGCGUGCAGGAUGAAGGCCUUCGGGUUGUAAACUGCUUUUGUACGGAACGAAAAGUCUCGGGCUAAUACCCUGGGACCAUGACGGUACCGUAAGAAUAAGCACCGGCUAACUACGUGCCAGCAGCCGCAGUAAAAC
rnacentral:rRNA from 1 species